CUUUCUGUCUCUCUGUCUUUUGCUCUCUGUCUUUCUCUCUCUCUCUCACACACACACUGUCUCUUUCUCUGUCUUUCUCUGUGACUUUCUGUCUCUUGCUCUGUCUCUCUCUCUCUCACACACACACUCUGUCUCUCUUUCUCUCUCUGUCUCACUGUCUUUAUCUCUGUCUCUGUCUCAUUCUUUCUCUCUUUCUCUCUCAGCCUUUCUUUCUCUCUCUCUCUCACAUACACUCUUGUCUUUCUCUCAUUCUCUCUCUGUCUCUUGCUCUGUCUCUGUCUCUCACACACAUUCUCUCUGUCUGUCGUUCUCUGUCUCUUUCUCUGUCUCUCUCUCUGUCUCUUUCUGUCUUUCUCUCUCUGCCUCUGUCUCUCUCUUUCUCACUCUUUCUGUCUCUCUCUCUCGGUCUCUUGCUCUCUGUCUCUCUCAGUCUCUCUCUCUCUCUCUCACACACACACACACACACACACACACACACACACACUGUUCUGUCUUUCUCUGUCCCUUAUUCUCACUCUCUCUGUCUCCUGCUCUCUGUCUCUGUCUCUCUCUCACACACACAUUCUGUCUCUCUCUCUGUCUCUUUCUCCUUCUGUCUCUCUGUCUCUGUCUCUCAUUCUCUCUCUGUCUCCCAUUCUCACUCUCUCUGUCUCUUGCUCUCUGUCUGUCUCUGUCUCUCACACACACAUUCUGUCUCUCUCUCUGUCUCUUUCUUUCUGUUUCUCUGUCUCUUUCUGUCUCUCUGUCUGUUUUUCUCUCAUUCUCACUCUUUCUGUCUCUCUUGCUCUGUCUCUUUCUCUCUGUCUCUGUCUCGCUCUCACACACACUGUCUCUCUCUGUCUCUUUCUCUCUGUCUCUGUCUCUCACACACACACUGUCUCUCUCUCUUUGUCUCUCGCUUUCUCUCACACACACAUUCUGUCUCUCUUUGUCUCUCUUUCUGUCUCUCAUUCUCUGUCUCUGUCUCUCUUUCUCGUUGUCUCUUUCUCUGUCUCUUCCUGUCUCAGUCUCUUUCUCAUUCUCACUCUUUCUGUCUCUCUUGCUGUCUCUCCCUCUCUCUCUCUGUCACACACACACACACACACACACACACACACUGUAUUUCUGUCUCUCAUUCUCUCUCUCUCUGUCUCUCUGUCUCUCUGUCACACACACACUGUCUCUUUCUCUCUUUUUCACACACACUGUCUCUCUGUAAUUUCAUUCUCACUCUCAUUCUGUCUCUUGCUCUCUCACUGUCUCUGUCUGUCUCAUACACACACACUGUCUCUGCCUCGUUCUCUCUUUCUCACACAUACACACUGUCUCUCUCUCUGUCUCUCAUUCUCACUCUCUCUCACUGUCUCUGUCUCUCUCAUUGUCUCUGUCUCUCUCACACACACACUCUGU
rnacentral:lncRNA from 1 species